rnacentral:rRNA from 1 species
UACGUAGGGUGCAAGCGUUAAUCGGAAUUACUGGGCGUAAAGCGUGCGCAGGCGGUGAUGUAAGACAGGUGUGAAAUCCCCGGGCUUAACCUGGGAACUGCAUUUGUGACUGCAUCGCUGGAGUGCGGCAGAGGGGGAUGGAAUUCCGCGUGUAGCAGUGAAAUGCGUAGAUAUGCGGAGGAACACCGAUGGCGAAGGCAAUCCCCUGGGCCUGCACUGACGCUCAUGCACGAAAGCGUGGGGAGCAAACAGGAUAGAUACC